CAAAAAGUCAUAACACCAGUAUCCACUUCUGCAAGCUCAACAUCUUUGUCACCAACAGCAUCUUCUGCUGCUAAAAAAGCUCUGAUGACUUUAAACUUACCAAAAAACUCUCCAUCUUUACCUUCAGUGCAACUUUCAAUAUCUUCAAGUCCUUCUACAGCGUUGUGUAUGACAUCCAGCUAUGUUGCACCAGCCCUACCAGUUGCUUCAUCUUCACUAGAUAACGAUUCAAUUGUUUCUAGUGAGUUGGCACGUUCUGUGUUUAAUUACGCAAAUGAAGAAUUCGUUGCAGUUGUUGACAGUGAUUAUGAGGCCAGUUGCACGUUAUCGACAACAUACUGUAAUAAUAAGAAGUCAUCAGUUAUUUUACACAAAAGCUACGAGGAGACUGCAGAAAAAAAUGCAGAGUUUUAAAACAACAAGUGAAUAAAUAAAUACAUAA